AAGCCUGAUCCAGCCAUGCCGCGUGUUGAAGAAGGCUUUCGGGUUGUAAAGCACUUUCAGUGGGGAAGAAAUCCUCGGGGCCAAUACCCUCGAGGGAGGACAUCACCCACAGAAGAAGCACCGGCUAACUCCGUGCCAGCAGCCGCGGUAAUACGGAGGGUGCGAGCGUUAAUCGGAAUUACUGGGCGUAAAGCGCGCGUAGGCGGCGUGAUAAGCCGGUUGUGAAAGCCCCGGGCUCAACUUGGGAACGGCAUCCGGAACUGUCAGGCUAGAGUGCAGGAGAGGAAGGUAGAAUUCCCGGUGUAGCGGUGAAUUGCGUAGAGAUCGGGAGGAAUACCAGUGGCGAAGGCGGCUUUCUGGACUGACACUGACGCUGAGGUGCGAAAGCGUGGGUAGCAAACAGGAUUAGAUACCCUGGUAGUCCACGCCGUAAACGAUGUCGACUAGCCGUUGGGGUCCUUGUGACCUUUGUGGCGCAGUUAACGCGAUAAGUCGACCGCCUGGGGAGUACGGCCGCAAGGUUAAAACUCAAAUGAAUUGACGGGGGCCCGCACAAGCGGUGGAGCAUGUGGUUUAUUUCGAUGCAACGCGAAGACCCUUACCUACUCUUGACAUCGUGCGAACUUUCCAAAGAUGGAUUGGUGCCUUCGGGAACGCACAGACAGGUGCUGCAUGGCGGUCGUCAGCUCGUGUUGUGAAAUGUUGGGUUAAGUCCCGUAACGAGCGCAACCCUUGUCCCUAUUUGCCAGCGAUU
rnacentral:rRNA from 1 species